rnacentral:tRNA from 1 species
GUGGUUGUGGCUCAGUGGUAGAGUGCUUGCCUAGCAUGUGUGAGGCACUGGGACUGGGUUCGAUUCUCAGCACUACA